CUGCGGUGAAUACGUUCCCGGGUCUUGUACACACCGCCCGUCAAGCCAUGAAAAGUCGCCAACACCCGAAGUCCGGCGUUUGCCGGCCUAAGGUGGGGGAGAUGAUUGGGGUU
rnacentral:rRNA from 1 species